UACGUAGGGUGCGAGCGUUGUCCGGAAUUAUUGGGCGUAAAGAGCUCGUAGGCGGUGUGUCACGUCGGCCGUGAAAACCUGCAGCUUAACUGUGGGCGUGCGGUCGAUACGGGCAUCACUGGAGUUCGGCAGGGGAGACUGGAAUUCCUGGUGUAGCGGUGAAAUGCGCAGAUAUCAGGAGGAACACCGGUGGCGAAGGCGGUGGUCUGGGCCGGCACUGACGCUGAGGAGCGAAAGCGUGGGUAGCAAACAGG
rnacentral:rRNA from 1 species